rnacentral:lncRNA from 1 species
UGUGAGGCUGUCCCAGGCCAGGAUGAGGAGAGCUUUCUAUACUUCACCUACAGCAGCAACCUCAGUGGCAUUCUUCUGCAUGGCCUACCUGCAGGAUUUUAAGCUUGACUUUGGCAAUUCCCAAGGCCAAACUAGUCAAACUUGGCAUGCAGGCAAGGAAAAGUUAAUAGUGAAACAGCUUUUGUAAUAGAAGAUAAAGUUUUUACUCAACAAGGAAGAGAAAUAACCUGUCAAAAUUACCUGAGGAGAAAGUACGAGAGUGCAUCUCCAUCACUACAGUAUAAAAAGGUUGUUUGCCUGGGUACAAAAGAAGAGUUUGCCACUGGAGUAUCAAAAGUA